rnacentral:rRNA from 1 species
GACAGAGGGGGCAAGCGUUAUUCGGAUUUACUGGGCGUAAAGGGCGCGUAGGUGGCUUCGCAAGUCUGGUGUGAAAACGCUACCGCUUAACGGAGCGAUUGCGCUGGAAACUGCGAAACUUGAGUUCGAGAGAGGCAGGCGGAAUACCUGGUGUAGCGGUGGAAUGCUUAGAUAUCAGGUGGAACACCCGAGGCGAAGGCGGCCUGCUGGCUCGAUACUGACACUGAGGCGCG